UACGUAGGGGGCAAGCGUUGUCCGGAAUCAUCGGGCGUAAAGCGCGUGUAGGCGGCUCGAUAAGUCUGCUGUGAAAGUCCAGGGCUCAACCCUGGGAUGCCGGUGGAUACUGUCGAGCUCGAGUCCGGAAGAGGCGAGUGGAAUUCCUGGUGUAGCGGUGAAAUGCGCAGAUAACAGGAGGAACACCAAUGGCGAAGGCAGCUCGCUGGGACGUGACUGACGCUGAGACGCGAAAGCGUGGGGAGCAAACAGG
rnacentral:rRNA from 1 species